rnacentral:rRNA from 1 species
GUUUUUUUGGUUUUGGGCGCGGAGGACAUU